rnacentral:rRNA from 1 species
CGCUGGCGGUAGGCCUAGCACAUGCAAGUCGAACGGCAGCACAGUAAGAGCUUGCUCUUACGGGUGGCGAGUGGCGGACGGGUGAGGAAUACAUCGGAAUCUACUUUUUCGUGGGGGAUAACGUAGGGAAACUUACGCUAAUACCGCAUACGACCUACGGGUGAAAGCAGGGGAUCUUCGGACCUUGCGCGAUUGAAUGAGCCGAUGUCGGAUUAGCUAGUUGGCGGGGUAAAGGCCCACCAAGGCGACGAUCCGUAGCUGGUCUGAGAGGAUGAUCAGCCACACUGGAACUGAGACACGGUCCAGGCUCCUACGGGAGGCAGCAGUGGGGAAUAUUGGACAAUGGGCGCAAGCCUGAUCCAGCCAUACCGCGUGGGUGAAGAAGGCCUUCGGGUUGUAAAGCCCUUUUGUUGGGAAAGAAAAGCAGCAGGUUAAUACCCCGCUGUUCUGACGGUACCCAAAGAAUAAGCACCGGCUAACUUCGUG